CGUCCGACAACGCAGCAUCCAGCAACAUCUCAGGCCACUACUUGCUGAAGGAGCCAAAGCCUCCGGUUGCCGCAAAGUCUGACAAUGCCAUGGCAGCAGAGAAUCUGCAGACCAAGAAGCGAGCAUCCCACCGCAGGACGAGAGACAGCCGGGCCCUGAAGCGGCGCUGUGAGAGUCCCAGCGGCCCCGUGCGCAGCAAACACUAAGUCCUCAGGUCGCCCUGACAUCCCUUAUAGUGUGCACGGUCUGUACAACU